AGAGUUUGAUCCUGGCUCAGGAUGAACGCUGGCGGCGUGCCUAACACAUGCAAGUCGAACGAAGCACCUUUUGAGAUUCUUCGGAUGAUUGAUCGGUGACUGAGUGGCGGACGGGUGAGUAACGCGUGGGUAACCUGCCCUGUACAGGGGGAUAACAGCUGGAAACGGCUGCUAAUACCGCAUAAGCGCACGAGGAGACAUCUCCUUGUGUGAAAAACUCCGGUGGUACAGGAUGGGCCCGCGUCUGAUUAGCUGGUUGGCAGGGUAACGGCCUACCAAGGCAACGAUCAGUAGCCGGUCUGAGAGGAUGAACGGCCACAUUGGAACUGAGACACGGUCCAAACUCCUACGGGAGGCAGCAGUGGGGAAUAUUGCACAAUGGGGGAAACCCUGAUGCAGCAACGCCGCGUGAGUGAAGAAGUAUUUCGGUAUGUAAAGCUCUAUCAGCAGGGAAGAAGAAUGACGGUACCUGACUAAGAAGCCCCGGCUAACUACGUGCCAGCAGCCGCGGUAAUACGUAGGGGGCAAGCGUUAUCCGGAUUUACUGGGUGUAAAGGGAGCGUAGACGGCAAGGCAAGUCUGAUGUGAAAACCCAGGGCUUAACCCUGGGACUGCAUUGGAAACUGUCUGGCUCGAGUGCCGGAGAGGUAAGCGGAAUUCCUAGUGUAGCGGUGAAAUGCGUAGAUAUUAGGAAGAACACCAGUGGCGAAGGCGGCUUACUGGACGGUAACUGACGUUGAGGCUCGAAAGCGUGGGGAGCAAACAGGAUUAGAUACCCUGGUAGUCCACGCCGUAAACGA
rnacentral:rRNA from 1 species